UGGGGAAUAUUGCACAAUGGGGGAAAACCUGAUGCAGCGACGCUGCGUGAACGAAGAAGGUAUUCGUAUCGUAAAGUUCUGUCCUAUGGGAAGAUAAUGACAGUACCAUAGAAGAAAGCUCCGGCUAAAUACGUGCCAGCAGCCGCGGUAAUACGAAUGGAGCGAGCGUUGUCCGGGAUUAUUGGGCGUAAAGGGUACGCAGGCGGUUUAAUAAGUCGAAUGUUAAAGAUCGGGGCUCAACCCCGCAAAGCAUUGGAAACUGAUAAACUUGAGUAGUGGAGAGGAAAGUGGAAUUCCUAGUGUAGUGGUGAAAUAGGUAAAUAUUAGGAGGAAUACCAGUAGCGAAGGCGACUUUCUGGACACAAACUGACGCUGAGGUACGAAAGCGGGGGGAGCAAACAGG
rnacentral:rRNA from 1 species